rnacentral:lncRNA from 1 species
UAUUAUUUACAUCUGUCACCCUAGCAACCGAAUGAGACAUGGCAACGACAGGGUACGAUUUCAAAUGUAAACAAAAACAAACUAGAAACUAACCAAAAAAUAAAAAAUGAUCAAACUUCAAACCUGUCGUCCCGCAAUUUCUUGUCUGCGUUAGUCAUCAACAAGACCUUUACUAUCUUUAUCUCAUCUUACACUAAAAAUUCUUCUAAGUGACAAAUGAAGAGUCAGCUUUUAUUAAAUGCGUAAACCACAAAGAUGUCGGCCAAAUCUUCAAGUGGAAAGUCUGGAAAUGAUGAUGACAAAGCUCCAACAUCAGCCCGCACAGAAAACAUCCGGAGAGGAAGACAAAAUGUACAGAAUGAAAUGAAAGAUCUAAUUAUUGAGAAGAAAUCUGAACUUUCAAAAGUGUUAAACGAAAUUAAAGGAGAUAUUGUUGAAAAACUUGAUGAAGAAGCAAUCAAAAGUACUUCGGUGUCUCCUGAGUUGAAAAAAUCUGAAACGCAGCUGAUUGACAGUUAUUACAUCCAGCAAAGGAACAAAUUCAUCAAAACAACUAAUCCAAUAUAGAUCAAAAUAUCAAUAAAAGCGACUCUAAUUUGUGGCUGAACACUGAUAAGCUGUAAGUAGUACGUGCAACUUGGCUCGUUUUUAUGGAAGUUCUCCGUACAUACAAGUUCCAACUCAUUGAUGUUCAAUUCAGGAUAUUAACAUAGAGGAAUCCAGGAAUCCUAGAUUGAUCAUUAAGUAUUCCACUAAUUCAGGAAGGUAGAUAGUUGACCAUCUUGAAUCUGCCUCAUUUAUUUUCUCCCGCAUUACCAGUCAAGAGCUACAAAAUUAAGUCUGGAAAUUCGAAGUCGGAUCACCUUAUCAGUUCCAGUGUAAUGCUUUUUUUUUUUAAAUUCCACAAAUCCAUGUCAGAAAUUUUUAAUUUAAAAUAAUGGGUCACUAAACCAUGAACGAAUUUUGACUUGCGAAUAUAGUUUUCUGAAGGAAAAUAACGCGUAGAAAACUAUGCGCACAUUAAAAACGCGAACAAGUAACUCAAUAACCGAGAAAUGCGCAGUUCAACUCGCUCAACUUAUACGCAAAUUUAAAACGCCCCGAUUUCGCGCCGCGCCGAAUGAUGUCAUCCGGCACCAAUCAGAAGCGGGCACGGGCUUCCACGACUUCCGUCAAAUGUCUAUCUACUCUUCGUAUAUGAAAACAAAACUAAAGUCGAAAUUAUAUCUUUUGAAUUCAAGACUUGAAUCUCAUUCAUAUGUUAGCUGUAAUAAACGAGCAACAAUUCCACAUUGAAACACGGUUAUUUUAACAAACACCAGAGGAAAAUGCGAGAGGAUUGCGAUAUGACUACCGCAGUGCGUCAACACCGUCAGUUUCCCGCCAUUCGGGUGCGUUUGAAAUGUCUUGCAGUUUUUAGAUUUUUCAAAAGCGGGUUUCUCCGCGAUUUCGGCUCCAUAAAAAUGCGGAAAAAUCACCACGUUAUCUGCUCACAUUGUACUUUCAGAAUAUUUAAUAAAAUAAACAAGGUUUAGUGACCCAUUCUAGACUUUAAUUCAUGAUUGAAUUAAAAUCACAGCAAAUUUUUCCGUCAUUUACCUACUGAAAUUUUAUCGCAAAUCUUAAGAUACUUUUAUUUUUCUUCAAUUUAAUCGCAUACAAUCAGUUUGGACCAUCACAUUUCUGAGUAAACUGUGCCAUGCCAUCUCAUUAAAAAUGAAAUCUGUCAUGGAGCUCCAUAAAUGAUAUGUAAUGACCAGGGCCGGAUUUACCUAUGGUGCAUCGGUGCAGCUGCACAGGGCGCCAGAUUUUGAGGGGCGCCAAAUUUUGGGGGUUUUUUUUCUCCGAACUCUGCAAAAUUACAUCAGGGAACCAUUAAUUUAUUGCGUUCCAUCUUAAAUGACUGACCCUGGACUUUAAGGGUCAAACUUUCUCUUAGUUUCGUAGUUAACAGUAACAGGCACGGGUACCUGGUUUUGGUUUCUGCCCCAGAAUCAUUCACUCACUCAAAAAAAUUCGUAUUUAUUUACAGUUAGCACGUAGUAACCAAAGAAGACCGUCGGGUUCGGAAAUGCGCGUGCGGGGGGGGGGUGCGAGGGGGGCGCCUCGAAAAUUUCUGCACAGGGCGCCAAAAACGUAAAUCCGGCCCUGGUAAUGACCCAUGAGCGUCAAAAAUCAUUAAAUAGCAUCAUGGAUUGCCAAAUGAGCGUCAAAUUAAGAGCAUUUUAACAUUUGUAACUGUACAUCUCAUACUAUAGCCA